rnacentral:rRNA from 1 species
UUAAGCGACUAAGCGUACACGGUGGAUGCCCUGGCAGUCAGAGGCGAUGAAGGACGUGCUAAUCUGCGAAAAGCGUCGGUAAGGUGAUAUGAACCGUUAUAACCGGCGAUGUCCGAAUGGGGAAACCCAGUGCAAUUCGUUGCACUAUCGUUAACUGAAUACAUAGGUUAACGAGGCGAACCGGGGGAACUGAAACAUCUAAGUACCCCGAGGAAAAGAAAUCAACCGAGAUUCCCCCAGUAGCGGCGAGCGAACGGGGAGCAGCCCGGAGUCUGAAUCAGCUUGUGUGUUAGUGGAAGCGUCUGGAAAGUCGCAGGGUACAGGGUGAUACUCCCGUACACUAAAACGCACAGGCUGUGAACUCGAAGAGUAGGGCGGGACACGUGGUAUCCUGUCUGAAUAUGGGGGGACCAUCCUCCAAGGCUAAAUACUCCUGACUGACCGAUAGUGAACCAGUACCGUGAGGGAAAGGCGAAAAGAACCCCGGCGAGGGGAGUGAAAAAGAACCUGAAACCGUGUACGUACAAGCAGUAGGAGCCCACUAGUUGGGUGACUGCGUACCUUUUGUAUAAUGGGUCAGCGACUUAUAUUCUGUAGCAAGGUUAACCGAAUAGGGGAGCCGCAGGGAAACCGAGUCUUAACUGGGCGUUAAGUUGCAGGGUAUAGACCCGAAACCCGGUGAUCUAGCCAUGGGCAGGUUGAAGGUUGGGUAACACUAACUGGAGGACCGAACCGACUAAUGUUGAAAAAUUAGCGGAUGACUUGUGGCUGGGGGUGAAAGGCCAAUCAAACCGGGAGAUAGCUGGUUCUCCCCGAAAGCUAUUUAGGUAGCGCCUCGUGAACUCAUCUUCGGGGGUAGAGCACUGUUUCGGCUAGGGGGUCAUCCCGACUUACCAACCCGAUGCAAACUACGAAUACCGAAGAAUGUUAUCACGGGAGACACACGGCGGGUGCUAACGUCCGUCGUGAAGAGGGAAACAACCCAGACCGCCAGCUAAGGUCCCAAAGUCAUGGUUAAGUGGGAAACGAUGUGGGAAGGCCCAGACAGCCAGGAUGUUGGCUUAGAAGCAGCCAUCAUUUAAAGAAAGCGUAAUAGCUCACUGGUCGAGUCGGCCUGCGCGGAAGAUGUAACGGGGCUAAACCAUGCACCGAAGCUGCGGCAGCGACGCUUAUGCGUUGUUGGGUAGGGGAGCGUUCUGUAAGCCGUUGAAGGUGGCCUGUGAGGGUUGCUGGAGGUAUCAGAAGUGCGAAUGCUGACAUAAGUAACGAUAAUGCGGGUGAAAAACCCGCACGCCGGAAGACCAAGGGUUCCUGUCCAACGUUAAUCGGGGCAGGGUGAGUCGACCCCUAAGGCGAGGCCGAAAGGCGUAGUCGAUGGGAAACAGGUUAAUAUUCCUGUACUUGGUGUUACUGCGAAGGGGGGACGGAGAAGGCUAUGUUGGCCGGGCGACGGUUGUCCCGGUUUAAGCAUGUAGGCGGAUGUUCCAGGUAAAUCCGGAACGUUACUAACGCUGAGGUGUGAUGACGAGGCACUACGGUGCUGAAGUGACAAAUGCCCUGCUUCCAGGAAAAGCCUCUAAGCAUCAGGUAACAUCAAAUCGUACCCCAAACCGACACAGGUGGUCAGGUAGAGAAUACCAAGGCGCUUGAGAGAACUCGGGUGAAGGAACUAGGCAAAAUGGUGCCGUAACUUCGGGAGAAGGCACGCUGAUGGUAGGUGAAGCGACUUGCUCGUGGAGCUGAAAUCAGUCGAAGAUACCAGCUGGCUGCAACUGUUUAUUAAAAACACAGCACUGUGCAAACACGAAAGUGGACGUAUACGGUGUGACGCCUGCCCGGUGCCGGAAGGUUAAUUGAUGGGGUUAUCCUCACGGAGAAGCUCUUGAUCGAAGCCCCGGUAAACGGCGGCCGUAACUAUAACGGUCCUAAGGUAGCGAAAUUCCUUGUCGGGUAAGUUCCGACCUGCACGAAUGGCGUAAUGAUGGCCAGGCUGUCUCCACCCGAGACUCAGUGAAAUUGAACUCGCUGUGAAGAUGCAGUGUACCCGCGGCAAGACGGAAAGACCCCGUGAACCUUUACUAUAGCUUGACACUGAACACUGGUCCUUGAUGUGUAGGAUAGGUGGGAGGCUUUGAAGUGUGGACGCCAGUCUGCAUGGAGCCAUCCUUGAAAUACCACCCUUUAAUGGCUGGUGUUCUAACGUGGGCCCGUGAUCCGGGUUGCGGACAGUGUCUGGUGGGUAGUUUGACUGGGGCGGUCUCCUCCUAAAGAGUAACGGAGGAGCACGAAGGUCAGCUAAUCCUGGUCGGACAUCAGGAGGUUAGUGCAAUGGCAUAAGCUGGCUUGACUGCGAGCGUGACGGCGCGAGCAGGUGCGAAAGCAGGUCAUAGUGAUCCGGUGGUUCUGAAUGGAAGGGCCAUCGCUCAACGGAUAAAAGGUACUCCGGGGAUAACAGGCUGAUACCGCCCAAGAGUUCAUAUCGACGGCGGUGUUUGGCACCUCGAUGUCGGCUCAUCACAUCCUGGGGCUGAAGUAGGUCCCAAGGGUAUGGCUGUUCGCCAUUUAAAGUGGUACGCGAGCUGGGUUUAGAACGUCGUGAGACAGUUCGGUCCCUAUCUGCCGUGGGCGCUGGAGAAUUGAGGGGGGCUGCUCCUAGUACGAGAGGACCGGAGUGGACGCAUCACUGGUGUUCGGGUUGUCAUGCCAAUGGCAUUGCCCGGUAGCUAAAUGCGGAAGAGAUAAGUGCUGAAAGCAUCUAAGCACGAAACUUGCCCCGAGAUGAGUUCUCCCUGACUCCUUGAGAGUCCUGAAGGAACGUUGAAGACGACGACGUUGAUAGGCCGGGUGUGUAAGCGCAGCGAUGCGUUGAGCUAACCGGUACUAAUGAACCGUGAGGCUUAACCUU